rnacentral:misc_RNA from 1 species
GGCACGCCCGAAGUCGUUACUCCAACCCUUGUGGAGGAGGACGCCGAAGGUGGGGCUGAUGACUGGGGUGAAGUCGUAACAAGGUAGCCGUACCGGAAGGUGCGGCUGGAUCACCUCCUAACAGGGAGACUAACUGAUUGUGAUGUCUGAGCGCUGAAGUGAGAGAGUUUCAAGCGAUUGAGACUUGAUCAGGGAAGCACAUUUUGUCUCAGGCCACGAUCCUGUCAUCUCGAAGGUCGAUCGGUACCUCAAGGGAAAGAUUAGAAGAUUGAUUUUCGAAAGGAGGUCAUUAUUGUCUAAUUAAUCUUUUCAGUUCCUAAACUUUGUCUAGGUCACCCCCCAGCGGGUAAGAGAACUCCUGGGCCAUUAGCUCAGGUGGUUGGA